AAUGAGACUGCCGGUGGACAAACCGGAGGAAGGUGGGGAUGACGUCAAGUCCUCAUGGCCUUAUAGUAGGGCUACACACGUCAUACAAUGGAUGGUACAAAGGGUCGCCAACCCGCGAGGGGGAGCCAAUCCCAUAAAACCAUUCGUAGUCCGGAUCGCAGUCUGCAACUCGACUGCGUGAAGUCGGAAUCGCUAGUAAUCGUGGAUCAGAAUGUCACGGUGAAUACGUUCCCGGGUCUU
rnacentral:rRNA from 1 species